rnacentral:misc_RNA from 1 species
UUAUAGCUAGUGAUAUAUUAUUGUGUAAGCUUCUAUCUAUCAACUUCUAGAAACGUAAUUAUAUUCUUCAAAGUGGAAAUGGAAGCAUUUAAAUUUAAUAAGUUAUUGGUUUGAUUUAAGUUUUGCUUUUGGUUAAAAAUAUCAUUCUAUUAAAGUGAGGAAAUGAUGAUCCUCGAUAAUGCGCAAGCAUGCAUAGGAAGACCCAGUUUGGGCUAGAUUGCCUGUUUUGGGAGGCAAUGGUGUCUUGCUGUGAAGUUUCUUGUUGCUAGCUAUACAUCAUGAGUGGUCCAUGAAAUUUCACAUUUUUUCAUUGGUGCAAGUAUCAGGAUAUUUUUGGGGAUAAGUAAAGGAUCUCUGGACCUUCAUGAUCUUUUUGUGGGGUGUUUGAUGUGGUUGCUGUCCAUUGGACUUCUGGAUCUGGAAAUCAAGAUGUUCUUGUUGGCUAUUCUUAAGUUUUAUUCCCUGUUAGUGAUUUUCUUCUAGCUUUUGUUUUUCCCUUCUUGUUAUGUUCUAUUGCUUCCUGUACAUAUUUUUGACGGGUUCCCUCUGCUUGCUUCACUUUUGGCUAACAAGCUAAAAUCUUGCA